rnacentral:lncRNA from 1 species
CAAAGCGGCAAAAUUAAAUGAAGGUAAUCUAGUUUUGGGGUCGAUGCGAACGUUCUUCGAGAAUACGUAGGUAAUCCAACCGAUUACUAGUGCUGAUGCAAAGGAUGCUAAGAGAAAGACAGUGGCGUUGGUAUUUGUGCGGACGAUAAUAGCUUAGCGCCAGUUUAUCGUAUCCAGCGACUAUCUACCAACUAUAGGAAACGAACAAGGUAAAUUCAUGCGAAAUGUAUCUAAGCAACGGAACAAAAGCUAUUUUGAAGCUUUUAUUAAUCCAGUACGCCUAACAAAUGCAUGCUUUUGGGAUGCUAAUUGACUUCAGAU